rnacentral:rRNA from 1 species
CGUCCUAUUAGCUACUUGGUGAGGUAAUGGCUCACCAAGGCUACGAUGGGUAGGGGUUCUUAGUGGAAGGUCCCCCACACUGGCACUGAGAUACGGGCCAGACUCCUACGGGAGGCAGCAGUAGGGAAUAUUGGUCAAUGGGCGCAAGCCUGAACCAGCCAUGCCGCGUGCAGGAUGAAGGCUCUCUGAGUUGUAAACUGCUUUUGUACAGGAGCAAAAAAAUCCCUGCGGGGGUUCUUGAGAGUACUGUAAGAAUAAGCACCGGCUAAUUCCGUGCCAGCAGCCGCGGUAAUACGGGAGGUGCAAGCGUUAUCCGGUUUUAUUGGGUUUAAAGGGUGCGUAGGCGGCUUAUUAAGUCAGUUGUGAAAUCCUAGUGCUUAACGCUAGAACUGCAAUUGAUACUAUU